rnacentral:rRNA from 1 species
GACCUCAAUCCGGNAGAUCCA